rnacentral:rRNA from 1 species
GUUGAACGCUGGCGGAAUGCUUUACACAUGCAAGUCGAACGGCAGCAUAGGUGCUUGCACCUGAUGGCGAGUGGCGAACGGGUGAGUAAUACAUCGGAACGUGCCCAGACGUGGGGGAUAACGUAGCGAAAGUUACGCUAAUACCGCAUACGAUCUAAGGAUGAAAGCGGGGGACCGUAAGGCCUCGCGCGAUUGGAGCGGCCGAUGUCAGAUUAGGUAGUUGGUGAGGUAAAGGCUCACCAAGCCGACGAUCUGUAGCUGGUCUGAGAGGACGACCAGCCAAACUGGGACUGAGACACGGCCCAGACUCCUACGGGAGGCAGCAGUGGGGAAUUUUGGACAAUGGACGCAAGUCUGAUCCAGCCAUUCCGCGUGCAGGACGAAGGCCUUCGGGUUGUAAACUGCUUUUGUACGGAACGAAAAAGCUCUUACUAAUACUAGGAGUCCAUGACGGUACCGUAAGAAUAAGCACCGGCUAACUACGUGCCAGCCGCCGCAGUAA